UACGUAGGGUGCAAGCGUUGUCCGGAAUUAUUGGGCGUAAAGAGCUCGUAGGCGGUCUGUCGCGUCGGAUGUGAAAAUCCAGGGCUCAACCCUGGACCUGCAUUCGAUACGGGCAGACUAGAGUUCGGUAGGGGAGACUGGAAUUCCUGGUGUAGCGGUGAAAUGCGCAGAUAUCAGGAGGAACACCGGUGGCGAAGGCGGGUCUCUGGGCCAUAACUGACGCUGAGAAGCGAAAGCAUGGGGAGCGAACAGG
rnacentral:rRNA from 1 species